rnacentral:rRNA from 1 species
UACGGGGGGGGCAAGCGUUGUUCGGAAUUACUGAGCGUAAAGGGCUCGUAGGCGGCCAACUAAGUCAGACGUGAAAUCCCUCGGCUUAACCGGGGAACUGCGUCUGAUACUGGAUGGCUUGAAUCCGGGAGAGGGAUGCGGAAUUCCAGGUGUAGCGGUGAAAUGCGUAGAUAUCUGGAGGAACACCGGUGGCGAAGGCGGCAUCCUGGACCGGCAUUGACGCUGAGGAGCGAAAGCCAGGGGAGCAAACGGG